GGAUAUGGGUGCUACCUGCCUAUGACACCUGUCACCCCAUUGAUUGCUGGGGUUGAUUCGGGUUACCUGGCUGGCUAGCUGGGUAUCCCCGUUCUCCUUCAUGGCUGCAUGUGUGUCUCUCCUGAAGCUGCCCACCUGGUCAGAGAAGAUGACCUUCCCCCGUAAAGGAGGACUGCUCCUCGGUCAAGGGCGUACGAGUAGCUGCACUCCCCUGCCAGAACCUCCGAACAAGCUCUCAAGGCCCAUUUACAGGAGAAUGUAAGGUAGUCAAGCUUCCAAGACUCCAGACACACCCAAGUGAGCUGCUGCAUGUGGUGGUCUGCCUUUCUUU
rnacentral:snRNA from 1 species